rnacentral:lncRNA from 1 species
AUUAAUUCUACUUCAUAUUUUUUUUUUAAAGGAAAUAAGCAAUGUGUCAGUCCUGUUUCACAGAAGCCACCAAAUAACAGCAGGCUUUUACAACUCCAGAAAGGCUGGGAAUCAGACUCCCGCUGCACAUGUGUCCUUCUGUUCGCUAUUUCUAUUUCCAAGUCUUGCGCUUCUUCCAAAGUGUGUAAAGUCACUGGAAGUGCGUUGAAGAGAUGCAAACCAGGAAGUGUUUACGUGAUAAAACGGGCUCAGAGACAACUCUCUGGCAAGGGGAAACCAAGGGCGAGAAAACUGACCACCAGAGGAAGAAACUGCUUGGAAAAAGCCCAACUGUCAUACAACGCGCUCCUUUUCACACCUAACACUGCUAGUGUCUACACCUAUUGAGCAUUUACUGCAAGCGAACGACUAUAUAUACGCCAUCGCAUUCGAUCCUCACCAGUGCAAAGGGGUGGGAAAUAUCAGCCUGUGUGACAGAGAAGAGAGAGAUUUGCCUAGGCCACAAAGCGAAGGUAGGAAACUUGAGACUUGAGCCUGGGUCUCCCUGUCCCCAAGCUAACUCAUCCUCAUGCUAGACACACACCUGCAGUUACGCCCUUGGGGCUUUGGCCUUUGUGAUAAAAUUCUAAGCGGAGUCUCAGGCAAAGAAAACAUCCAGCCCCCGCUGUGUUUGCUGCCUAACCUCGAAAGGUGCCGGCCAUUAAAGCUAGAUUGAACCCGAGUUCUUGCUGAGACCGUCUUGAUAUUUUGGCAGAUUCACACCCUUGAUGAGAUUGCUGUCUACGAUGAAAGUUGAUUCAAGGUCUUGGGACCAUUUUUCACACAAGACCCCCGUUUAUUAGUGGGGAGUGUGUUGUAGGGACACCUGGCCAGCACUUAAUUUGACCUGGUAACAUAGAAGCGAGGCGCCCCUUAAUCUGUCCCCCCGAGCCAGCCCUGCCCCCUGCUGACGUGUGCCUCAUAAAUUCAGCCAUUGUGUCUGUGAGCGCCUUGGCUGGAGCUGGGUUUAUGAGAUAUCACGGUGCUGUGCUGUGCACCUGUGUAGCUGAGAGCAGAAUGUUCGCUUCGGGGGUGGAAAAAAACCAAACGAACCCAGGCCCUGGAAGGAAUUCAAGC